rnacentral:ncRNA from 1 species
CUACCAUCCGAGGGCUUACGGUUGAACGCCUCUAAAUCGGAAUCCCAUCUAAACUUGCAACGAUAUCUUCGGCGUCUUGACGUUAUUUGGUAUCGAUAAGCGGGUAAAGUCUCGUACUUUAUCCGGUGGCUAUGCCACAGUUGACGGCACAAUGUGAACGACGAUAUACGUUUACAAGCCGGCAUAUACGCAUCUGCGCAAUGUUUGGACGUAAAAUCAUUCGUAGACGACCUAAGUCUCGGUCAAGGUGUUGUACUUAGUAGAGUAGCCUCCACACUGCGAUCUAUUGAGACUUAGCCUUUCGACCGGGGAUUUGU